GACGAACGCUGGCGGCGUGCUUAACACAUGCAAGUCGAACGGAAAGGCCCUGCUUUUGUGGGGUGCUCGAGUGGCGAACGGGUGAGUAACACGUGAGUAACCUGCCCUUGACUUUGGGAUAACUUCAGGAAACGGGGGCUAAUACCGGAUAGGAGCUCCUGCUGCAUGGUGGGGGUUGGAAAGUUUCGGCGGUUGGGGAUGGACUCGCGGCUUAUCAGCUUGUUGGUGGGGUAGUGGCUCACCAAGGCUUUGACGGGUAGCCGGCCUGAGAGGGUGACCGGCCACAUUGGGACUGAGAUACGGCCCAGACUCCUACGGGAGGCAGCAGUGGGGAAUAUUGCACAAUGGGCGGAAGCCUGAUGCAGCAACGCCGCGUGCGGGAUGACGGCCUUCGGGUUGUAAACCGCUUUCGCCUGUGACGAAGCGUGAGUGACGGUAAUGGGUAAAGAAGCACCGGCUAACUACGUG
rnacentral:rRNA from 1 species